rnacentral:lncRNA from 1 species
UUCAUCCUGUGGGCGUUUGAGAAGAUUUCGGAGUUUGGCUUUAUCUUGGCUGAUGGGAUCUCGAAACAGGGGAAGAGGAUAAGCUUGGACGUUGGGAAGAGAUGAAGCUGGGAUUAUGCUGGUGGUGUUCUCGGUUGAGAACAGAGGAGCUGGGAACUUAUCGAGAUGCUUGAGGAUGCGGAUGUGGUCGUGGGAUGGAGAUAGAUCACGAGCGUAUGGUUUGGAAGAAGGAUACGGCUGUGAUGUGGAGCAUUGGUUGCGGAAAGAUGAAGCUAAGGAGUGAUUUGUAGACGUUGGG